AUCUUGUACUCUCUAAUCAGGAUCCUGAGUACGGCCCAGCACGUGAAAUUGGGUCGGAAUCUGGGAGGACCAUCUCCCAAGGCUAAAUACUAACUAGUGACCGAUAGCGAACAAGUACCGUGAGGGAAAGGUGAAAAGAACCCCGAAAGGGGAGUGAAAUAGUUCUUGAAACCGUGUGCUUACAAGAAGUUCGAGGCCGUUAAUGGCUGAGAGCGUGCUUUUUGUAGAAUGAACCGGAGAGUUACGAUUGCGUGCAAGGUUAAGGUGCAAAGACUGGAGCCGUAGCGAAAGCGAGUCUUAAUAGGGCGAAUCAGUACGUAGUUGUAGACCCGAAACCGAGUGACCUAUCCAUGGUCAGGUUGAAGGUGGGGUAAUACCUACUGGAGGACCGAACAAGUGGGUGUUAAAAAACCCUUUGAUGAACUGUGGAUAGCGGUGAAAUUCCAAUCGAACUCGGAGAUAGCUGGUUCUAUCCGAAAUACAUUUAGGUGUAGCCUUGCAAUUAGCUUACUGGAGGUAGAGCACUAUUUGGU
rnacentral:rRNA from 1 species